rnacentral:lncRNA from 1 species
AUUCCAUACAUCCUACAGCUGGCCAAUAUUCUCUAGAGGCUGUGUUCCGGAUCUCCUUGUGUCUUCCAUUGGGUACCCAAAGCACAGCGAGAUGCUAACUGUUCUUCAGGCCCUUCUCUUCUGAAGAUACCUUUAAUUUCUCUAAGAUAAGCAAUUGUCCCAUCCCAUUGAUAUCUGGUGUUCAUAGCCAGGAAUUCUGGUUCAGAAAAAGCUGUAUUUGCACAUUUUCUAUUUCAGUGUAUUUGCAGUUCCAGACUGUUUCCCAGUAGUUUAUCUUGCUCCUGGAAGAGAAAUUGCAGUGCAAAAAUGUACUUUUCAGUUGGUUAAAGAAAGUCCAGUCUAAAUAUUCACUAAGUUUUAUACCUCUGUUGCAGGUAAAGAAGUAAACAAGGGCAGUGAUGAGCUUGUCAGGAGAAGAAAUGAAAUAUCAGAAAGUACUGCAAUGAAAGAAGCAGUGAAGAGGAGAAGAGUGGAAGUCAGAGAUGAUACCUCAUGCCCAGAGUCAUGUAUGGACAGAACUGGAGCUGACUGUGUUUACCACAUGAGUAAAGCAGAGCAAGGAUUUGAAAAGUAUAAGCGACUGGCCUCUACACAUGCCCUCUCUGGCUUCUUUCCUCAGGUUCUCCAAACACUGUUAAUGAGAUAA